rnacentral:rRNA from 1 species
GAUGAACGCUGGCGGCGUGCCUAAUACAUGCAAGUCGAGCGAACAGACGAGGAGCUUGCUCCUCUGACGUUAGCGGCGGACGGGUGAGUAACACGUGGAUAACCUACCUAUAAGACUGGGAUAACUUCGGGAAACCGGAGCUAAUACCGGAUAAUAUAUUGAACCGCAUGGUUCAAUAGUGAAAGACGGUGUUGCGGUCACUUAUAGAUGGAUCCGCGCCGCAUUAGCUAGUUGGUAAGGUAACGGCUUACCAAGGCAACGAUGCGUAGACGACCGGAGAGGGGGAUAGCCGACCUGGGAGGGGGACCGGCGUCCAGACUACUAAGGGAGGCAGCAGUCGGGAAUCGUCCGCAGUGGGCGAAAGCUUGACGGAGCAGCGCGGAGUGAGUGAUGAAGGUCUUCGGAUCGUAAAACUCUGUUAUUAGGGAAGAACAAAUGUGUAAGUAACUAUGCACGUCUUGACGGUACCUAGUCAGAAAGCCACGGCUAACUACGUG